rnacentral:rRNA from 1 species
UACGUAGGUGGCAAGCGUUGUCCGGAUUUAUUGGGUUUAAAGGGUGCGUAGGCGGCCCUGUAAGUCAGUGCUGAAAUAUCCCGGCUUAACCGGGAGGGUGGCAUUGAUACUGCAGGGCUUGAGUAAAGUUGAGGUUGGCGGAAUUGACGGUGUAGCGGUGAAAUGCGUAGAUAUCGAGAGGAACACCUGCGGCGAAGGCGGGUAGCUGGGCCGACACUGACGCUGAUGCGCGAAAGCCAGGGGAGCGAACGGG